UAUUAUGUGGUUGUUUGUUUGUUUUUCCAGAAACAUGUUUUCCAGUUGUGGCAGGGUAAGCGAUUGAACUAUCCUAUUGGUUCUGCUCGGGGUAUGGCUUCGUCAGACCAAUAGGGUGGGAGCUACCCGACUAUUUCAGGACCCUUAUUUUGGUAGGCGCAUAGGUGUCUUGGUGAUUCAGAGUUCCUUACUCCCCUGACAUUUCCGGUUCCCAUUUCCGUUCAGGCAAGUUCAGGCUUUACUCACGGUGCACGUUUGAAUGAGGUGAACGUUUCAAGGUUAAUGUGGCAAGUUGGUGGCGGAGAUCGCGUUCAGUGAUCGCAACAUUUAGCCAGUGGCUGAAUGAUAUGUAGAUGUAUGUCGAGCCGCGGUACCUGUGAGUAAUUAUACCACUUCGUGUCUGGUGUUUUGUUCAACCCAAUGGAGCCAGUGAGUCUUGGUGGAACAGGGGAGGCUAGCUGCAUUUAUUCGGUGGUGUGCUUCACAAUGUGCCCAGUGUGCCAACACAACAACUUCCUUAUGGUGUAGGUAGUGCUUGAUGAUUUUGGUGUGACUUGCAAUGGGUUUGGAUGACCUCCCGAGCUGUAGUUGGCCUGCCUUGUUCAUAGUGCUUAGUUUAAAAAAAAUCCUUAUUGUGCUUCAUGGUAGAGCAAUUUUAUACUUGCAUGUUAAGUUUUAAUGAUUAAGUGUCAUAAUAAAAUAUAGUUUUUAUAUUUA